GUCCACACCGUAAACGAUGAUUACUAGGUGUUGGAGGAUUGACCCUUCAGUGCCGCACUUAACACAAUAAGUAAUCCACCUGGGAGUACGACCGCAAGGUUGAAACUCAAAGGAAUUGACGGGCCCGCACAAGCAGUGGAGUAUGUGGUUUAAUUCGACGCAACGCGAAGAACCUUACCAAGUCUUGACAUCCUGUGACAGACGUAGAAAUACGUUCUUCCUUCGGGACACAGAGACAGGUGGUGCAUGGUUGUCGU
rnacentral:rRNA from 1 species